rnacentral:lncRNA from 1 species
AUGGUCGGCUUCCAGCAGCCUCGGCUCCGUUUGACCCCCACAAGCACUUCCGGACAUCUCCAGCAGGUGGCUCAGUUAUGCUUGUUCAGCUACUCAGAGACGUCACGAACUUCGCUCAGAUUCCCUUUUCCAUCUUCCUUCCAAAUGCUAGAAAAUCGGAAACCCUCAAGGGAUAAGGAGAGGAAAAAAUGUGAACAAGAUGUCUAUCGUUUGGUGUCUACUGUACUCAAGUUGAAAGUCUUGGAAAUACGUAAAAUACAUAGAUUUACCAAGCUCCCCCAGAUUUGUUCUUGAUAUCAUGUUGACCUUUGAUCUUUGGGGGAUGGGGGACCGAUAGGCUCUACCUUAAAGGGACCCAGUGUCUGGGCCAAAUUUGGCUCACUCACCAUCUUUUAGAGCAUAAACCAGAUGCUAUCUAUCCUCUGUUCAAGUUUCUCAAACUGACCGUGCCCAUCGGCCCCUGCUCCUUCCCCC